GACGAACGCUGGCGGCGUGCCUAAUACAUGCAAGUCGAACGCUUCCUACCGGUGCUUGCACCGGGAAAGAAGAGUGGCGGACGGGUGAGUAACACGUGGGUAACCUACCUACAAGCGGGGGAUAACAUUCGGAAACGGAUGCUAAUACCGCAUAGAUCUUUUUGUCUCCUGGCAGAAAGAAGAAAGACGGUUUCGGCUGUCACUUGUAGAUGGACCCGCGGCGCAUUAGUUAGUUGGUGAGGUAAUGGCUCACCAAGACGAUGAUGCGUAGCCGACCUGAGAGGGUGAUCGGCCACACUGGGACUGAGACACGGCCCAGACUCCUACGGGAGGCAGCAGUAGGGAAUCUUCCGCAAUGGACGAAAGUCUGACGGAGCAACGCCGCGUGAGUGAAGAAGGUUUUCGGAUCGUAAAACUCUGUUGUUAGAGAAGAACAAGGAUGAGAGUAACUGCUCGUCCCUUGACGGUAUCUAACCAGAAAGCCAUGGCUAACUACGUGCCAGCAGCCGCGGUAAUACGUAGAUGGCAAGCGUUGUCCGGAUUUAUUGGGCGUAAAGCGAGCGCAGGCGGGUUCUUUAAGUCUGAUGUGAAAGCCCCUGGCUCAACCAGGGAGGGUCAUUGGAAACUGGAGAACUUGAGUGCAGAAGAGGAAAGUGGAAUUCCAUGUGUAGCGGUGAAAUGCGUAGAUAUAUGGAGGAACACCAGUGGCGAAGGCGACUUUCUGGUCUGUAACUGACGCUGAGGCUCGAAAGCAUGGGGAGCAAACAGGAUAGAUACCCUGGUAGUCCAUGCCGUAACGAUGAGUGCUAGUGUGGAGGUUUCCGCCCUUCCGUGCUGCAGCUAACGCCCUAAGCACUCCCGCCUGGGGAGUACGACCCGCAAGUGAAACUCAAGAUGACGGGGGCCCGCCCAGCGGUGGGCAUGUGGUAUCGAGCACGCGAGACUACAGCUUGAAUCCUUGAACACUCAGAUAGAGCUCCCUCGGAAAUGACUGUCCAUGUGUCUAC
rnacentral:rRNA from 1 species